AACGUAGGAGGCGAGCGUUAUCCGGAUUUACUGGGUGUAAAGCGCGUGCAGGCGGUGGGACAAGUUAACUGUGAAAGCGCCCGGCUCAACCGGGCGAGGACAGUUAAGACUGUUUUGCUGGAGGCAGGUAGAGGUGUGUGGAAUUCCGGGUGUAGUGGUGAAAUGCGUAGAGAUCCGGAGGAACACCAGUGGCGAAGGCGACACACUGGGCCUGGCCUGACGCUCAGACGCGAAAGCAUGGGGAGCGAACGGGAUUAGAAACCCCGGUAGUCCAUGCUGUAAACGAUGCGGACUAGGUGUUGCGGGUUGAAUCCCCUGCAGUGCCGCAGCCAACGUGAUAAGUCCGCCACCUGGGGACUACGGCCGCAAGGUUAAAACUCAAAGGAAUUGACGGGGGCCCGCACAAGCAGCGGAGCGUGUGGUUUAAUUCGAGGCUACACGAAGAACCUUACCUGGGCUUGACAUGGUGGUGGUAGGGAAGCGAAAGCGGACCGACCUUCGGGAGCCAUCACAGGUGCUGCAUGGCU
rnacentral:rRNA from 1 species